GAUGAACGCUGGCGGCGUGCCUAAUACAUGCAAGUCGAGCGAACAGAUGAGGAGCUUGCUCCUCUGACGUUAGCGGCGGACGGGUGAGUAACACGUGGAUAACCUACCUAUAAGACUGGGAUAACUUCGGGAAACCGGAGCUAAUACCGGAUAAUAUAUUGAACCGCAUGGUUCAAUAGUGAAAGACGGUUUUGCUGGCACUUAUAGAUGGAUCCGCGCCGCAUUAGCUAGUUGGUAAGGUAACGGCUUACCAAGGCAACGAUGCGUAGCCGACCUGAGAGGGUGAUCGGCCACACUGGAACUGAGACACGGUCCAGACUCCUACGGGAGGCAGCAGUAGGGAAUGUUCCGCAAAGGGCGAAAGCCUGACGGAGCAACGCCGCGUGAGUGAUGAAGGUCUUCGGGUCGUAAAACUCUGUUAUUAGGGAAGAACAAAUGUGUAAGUAACUAUGCACGUCUUGACGGUACCUAAUCAGAAAGCCACGGCUAACUACGUG
rnacentral:rRNA from 1 species